UCCGUCCAUGAAAGAACUUCAUAGGAGGGAGUGGCACGGGUUUUAAGAAAAAAUAUUGUUGAGUGUAUUGAGAGUGGAUAAAAGGUAGUUGAGUGUAUUGAGAGUUGUGAAAAGUGAAAAGUAAGAGGGUAAUAAGUGGUGGGGUAUAGUCCAAAAAUAGGUAGGAAGUUCUUUUGUGGACGUCCCAAAAAGGAAAUAUAGGAAGUUCUUUC
rnacentral:lncRNA from 1 species